rnacentral:misc_RNA from 1 species
GUAGGUGAACCUGCGGAAGGAUCAUUAUUGAAAUAAACCUGAUGGGGUUGUUGCUGGUUCUCUAGGGAGCAUGUGCACGCCUUGUCAUCUUUAUAUCUCCACCUGUGCACCUUUUGUAGACCUUCCAGGUCUAUGUUGCUCCAUUUACCCCAAUGUAUGUUAAUAGAAUGUUGUGUUUAUAAAAUCUAUACAACUUUCAGCAACGGAUCUCUUGGCUCUC